UACGAAGGCCCCAAGCGUUAUCCGGAUUUAUUGGGCGUAAAGAGUUCAAAGGUGGCUUUAUAAGUCAAACGUUAAAUCCUGAUGCUCAACAUCAGGUCCGCGUUUGAAACUAUAAAGCUUGAGGAUGGGAGAGGCAGACGGAAUUGCCGGUGUAGCGGUAGAAUGCGUUAAUAUCGGCAAGAACACCAAUUGCGAAAGCAGUCUGCUGGAACAAUCCUGACACUAUAGAACGAAAGCGUGGGGAGCGAAUGGG
rnacentral:misc_RNA from 1 species